GACGAACGCUGGCGGCGUGCUUAACACAUGCAAGUCGAACGGAAAGGCCCUGCUUUUGUGGGGUGCUCGAGUGGCGAACGGGUGAGUAACACGUGAGUAACCUGCCCUUGACUUUGGGAUAACUUCAGGAAACUGGGGCUAAUACCGGAUAGGAGCUCCUGCUGCAUGGUGGGGGUUGGAAAGUUUCGGCGGUUGGGGAUGGACUCGCGGCUUAUCAGCUUGUUGGUGGGGUAGUGGCUUACCAAGGCUUUGACGGGUAGCCGGCCUGAGAGGGUGACCGGCCCCAUUGGGACUGAGAUACGGCCCGGACUCCUACGGGAGGCAGCAGUGGGGAAGAGUGCACAGUGGGCGGAAGCCUGAUGCAGCAACGCCGCGUGCGGGAUGACGGCCUUCGGGUUGUAAACCGCUUUCGCCUGUGACGAAGCGUGAGUGACGGUAAUGGGUAAAGAAGCACCGGCUAACUACGUG
rnacentral:rRNA from 1 species